AGCUUUGUGCAGUGGCAGUAUCGUAGCCAAUGAGGUUUACCCGAGGCGUGAUUAUUGCUAAUUGAAAACUUCAGGAGCACCUGGGUGGCUCGGUCAGUUAACUAUCUGCCUUCAGCUCCCAGUCUCGGGGUCCUGGGAUCAAACCCACAGCAGGCUCCCUGCUCAGCAAGGAGUCUGUUU
rnacentral:snRNA from 12 species